UUCUUACCCAUAUGAUCGUCUUUGGGAUCAAUGCGGCCGUGACGUUGAUUUCACCGAGCACUUUAGGAGACUGCUCAGGAAAAGCUACCAAUGAACAAAAUGGAAUUUGAAGCUGAAACACCUGGAAGACUUGGUAUGGACUUGGCCCUGGUCUUGAAGAAGGAGGCCACGCAAGUCUGAGGCAGGCGCCGGUGGGUCAGGGCAGCACCGAGCCACCAGGUCCCCAAGGAACCCAGACACAGCACAGGUCUGGGGGAAUGUGAAGACAGUGGGCCUCAAGGGCUGGCCCCAGAUGAUGAGUCUCUGAUGCCGGAAGUCCCAGCGAGUGCAUUUUCUGCAGGACUGAUACUGCGCUUUAUCUGUUUUCAUGGUGACCAGGUGUAGUCGAUUCUGCAGACUUAAAGCCAGUCUUCCCACCGUCUCUGACCAGGACCAUCACGACUUAUCUCCCUGCCCAGGCCUGGCCUCCCUGAUCCACCCCUCUUGCCAGCUCCACUUGAACACCUUCAAUGACUGUGGUCUCUCGGACACAUCCGGCUGCCUUAGCAGGCACAUGGGACCUCCCGUGGCCUCAGACAUCCCCACUGGUGGCCAGGCCCAUCAUAGUCAGGCUGGACACAGGGGCCUCCCCUCCAUGCUCUGCACACAUCAGAGCCCCCCAGGGCCCCUCAGGGCUCUUGCACUUCUGGCUGGACCACCCUGGCCCCCUCACUGUCAAACUCCUCAUCCCGCCUUUAAACUCACAGCAAAUGUCACUGCGUUUGUGGAGACCCUCCCACACCCUCCCCAGGGGCCCACAGCUUCCUGCCCACACCCCACAACUUCCCCUCAGGUAUAGAAGACCCAGUGGCCAUGAUCUCAACCCUGUGGGAGCCUCAGCACCCGCAUGGGCCAGGUUCAUGCUGGGUGACCAAAUGCCGUGUGGUACACAAUUCAUAAAAUGAGAGAAGAAAUGCUUUGGGGGCCUCUGAGCCCAGAGGCUGAGGAACCACAUGAGAAGUGAGUGGCACUCCGCAUAGGUGGCCCCUCCUUCCCUGUUUAUGCUUCAAGAUGGCCGAGAACCAGAGCAAGACCAGAAGCUGCAGGAUGAAAUGAUGCUCUGGACCAGACUGGUGGUUUUGACCAGAGGCUGCAAAUGAGGCCUGUGUUUGGCUUGACGUGCUCAGCUCACUAAAAUGCAAGGCCUCCCGGAGAGGAAGAUCUUGCCACCAUUUGUAGGGCUGACUGGCUCCUCUACGGAGAAGGCAUCAACAAAGCUGGAACAGAACAGAGAAUUCACCUUAGGAUGUGGAGCCUAGAAGUGGGCGGGUGACCCGCUGGACACAACAUCAGGUGCAGCACUCCUGGAUAGUGAAGCCAUGUGGAGCCACUGCCCAGGAUCAGGAAAGGCCCAGCACAUGCUGCUGACCUCUUCAUUGUAUGCACGCCAGGACUCAGCAGGAUGGCCUGAGACAACCCUACGGUAGGACACAAAACUCAGGCUUUGUUGGUGACCUGCUGGUUCUUCACUUCCUCUGCUUCCCUUGAGGACUGUCUUUGUCUUGCUUCAGCCUGGCCACUUCCAGGUCGCAUGUGUGUAAAAGGGAGACCCUCAUGCUUGCUCCCCCUCGGUGACAGGAGUGAAACAGAAAACGCAGAUGGAGUUCUAAGAAUUCUCAGGUAGGGGACGUGGGCAGAUUCACAGCUUUGGCCACUGUCGGGGCUGAGAAACAUGGCAAGAUCAUGGGGAGGAACCAUGCCUAGGGUGAGUUUGUAGGUGGGCCCUUAAAGAUUUGGAUGUAGGGCUCAGUAGGUGUGAAUAAAUACACUGAAGGCACUGGGAGGAGAUGAUUUUCUGGGUUCUUCAUCUCUGGCCUCCAAUUCAGCAUGAAGCAAGGAUAAAGGAGAUUCCAGCCUAAUAAUUGGGAGGAUUUCUUAAAGCACAUUCCACAGAAGACUGCAUUUUUCUUGUCAAGCUACUCCAAAAUCAACAGCAAGGGAGCUUGUGAUGAAUUCAGCUGAAUUUGGUUUCUCACUCCAGUGAACCAAGUAACAGCAAAGAGGAUCCAGAGAAACAGGGUCCCGGGGUUCUGGACACUCCUCUUCUCUUUGGCCAUGUGCCCCCGAUUGUUAAGGAGAGAAGAGUAAAAGAUGGUAACUCUUAAAAUGGAGACCGAAGGGGACUGUGCCUUUGAGGGGCCCAUAGCCUAGGUGAGAAGAAGGAUCAGGAACCAAAGUUGAAAAACAAUGUAAGACGCAUUUAGGAGGUGCAGUCUUUGGAGCAAGAGCAGUUAUAAUGAAGCAGUUACAGGUAAGGGAGAAGCCAGAUUUCAGUGAGUUAAAAAGGAGGGGAAUGAGUGGAAACAGCAAGAAAGGUGUGUGUAUGAGAGGCAGUGUCGAGAAAGCUGUGUGGACUAUGGGGCGCUCCUGUCUGCAGGGUGGACUGCUUCAAUCAUACCGUGGACUUUAGGGCACCUUCAGUGUAACAAUCUGUUCAGCCACGGGGAUAUCAAAAUAAAUAAGACAAAGUCCACAUGCCCAAAGAGCAUUCCAUCUGUGGUUCCAGAGAAACAUAUGAGCAGACACAUCAAAAUGCAAAGUCAUACAUUCUGGACAGAGGCGGAUGGAGCACAGGAUUAGGAGGGAAAAAACACAAACCUAUUCUCAAGGAGCUUAUGGCCAUUUUUUUUCUCAUCUUUUUAGGGCCCAUGCCCAUGGCAUAUGGAGGUUCCUAGGCUAGGGUUCGAAUCGGA